GACGAACGCUGGCGGCGUGCCUAAUACAUGCAAGUCGAACGCAGUGGGGACGGGUGAGUAACACGUGGGUAACCUCCCAUCAGAGGGGAUAACACUUGGAAACAGGUGCUAAACCGAUACUGAUGGAUGAACCCGCGGUGCAUUAGCUAGUUGGUGAGGUAACGGCUCACCAAGGCCACGAUGCAUAGGCCACCUGAGAGGGUGGUAGGCCACACUGGGACUGCGACACGGCCCAGACGCCUACGGGAGGCAGCAUGAGGGAAGCUGCGGCAAUGGACGAAAGUAUGACCGAGCAACGCCGCGUGAUUGAAGAAGGUUUGCGGAUCGUAAACCGCUGUUGUUAGAGAAGCGGUAUCUACCCAGAAAGCCACGGCUAACUACGUGCCAGCAGCCGCGGUAAUAC
rnacentral:rRNA from 1 species